rfam:Shinella sp. DD12 SHLA_17c, whole genome shotgun sequence.
UUGCCGAUUCCAAGCUGCCGGAUAUGCAGGCGGGUUGGGAACAGGCGAUCUCGAACGUCAUGGCGGGCCUCUCCGGCCUCAACAUGGUCUAUGAGGCCG